UACGUAGGAUGCAAGCGUUGUCCGGAAUUACUGGGCGUAAAGCGCGCGUAGGCGGUGAUCCAUGUCAGAGGUGAAAGCCCGGGGCUCAACUCCGGAAUUGCCUUUGAGACGGGAUCGCUAGAGUCCGAGAGAGGAUGGCGGAAUUCCUAGUGUAGAGGUGAAAUUCGUAGAUAUUCGGAAGAACACCAGUGGCGAAGGCGACUUACUGGACACAUAUUGACGCUGAGGUGCGAAAGCGUGGGGAGCAAACAGG
rnacentral:rRNA from 1 species